rnacentral:rRNA from 1 species
GCUAAAUACUCCCUAGUGACCGAUAGUGAACCAGUACCGUGAGGGAAAGGUGAAAAGCACCCCGGAAGGGGAGUGAAAUAGAUCCUGAAACCGUGUGCCUACAACAAGUUAGAGCCCGUUAAUGGGUGAUAGCGUGCCUUUUGUAGAAUGAACCGGCGAGUUACGAUAGCAUGCGAGGUUAAGUUGAAGAGACGGAGCCGCAGCGAAAGCGAGUCUGAAUAGGGCGAAUGAGUAUGUUGUCGUAGACCCGAAACCAUGUGAUCUACCCAUGUCCAGGUUGAAGGUGCGGUAAAACGCACUGGAGGACCGAACCCACGUACGUUGAAAAGUGCGGGGAUGAGGUGUGGGUAGCGGAGAAAUUCCAAACGAACUUGGAGAUAGCUGGUUCUCUACGAAAUAGCUUUAGGGCUAGCCUAGGAAUUGACAAUGAUGGAGGUAGAGCACUGUUUGGACUAGGGGCCCAUCUCGGGUUACCGAAUUCAGAUAAACUCCGAAUGCCAUUCAUUCAUAUCCGGGAGUCAGACUGUGAGUGAUAAGAUCCAUAGUCGAAAGGGAAACAGCCCAGACCACCAGCUAAGGUCCCCAAAUAACUAUUAAGUGGAAAAGGAUGUGGGGUUGCACAGACAACUAGGAUGUUGGCUUAGAAGCAGCCACCAUUUAAAGAGUGCGUAAUAGCUCACUAGUCGAGUGACCCUGCGCCGAAAAUGUACCGGGGCUAAAUAGUUUACCGAAGCUGUGGAGUGCACCGUAAGGUGCAUUGGUAGGAGAGCGUUCUAAGGGCGUUGAAGGUAGAUCGUGAGGACUACUGGAGCGCUUAGAAGUGAGAAUGCCGGUAUGAGUAGCGAAAGACAGGUGAGAAUCCUGUCCACCGUAUGACUAAGGUUUCCUGGGGAAGGCUCGUCCGCCCAGGGUUAGUCGGGACCUAAGCCGAGGCCGACAGGCGUAGGCGAUGGACAACAGGUUGAUAUUCCUGUACCCGUUGUUUUUGUUUGAGCAAUGGAGGGACGCAGGAGGCUAAGAAGUGCAGACUGAUGGAUAUGUCUGUUCAAGCAGUGAGUCUUAGUGGGAGUCAAAUGCUUCUACUUUUAAGGACAAGCUGUGAUGAGGAGGGAAAUAAUAGUACCGAAGCUUCUGAUGUCACACUGCCAAGAAAAGCUUCUAGUGAGAAAACAAUGGCCCGUACCGCAAACCGACACAGGUAGUCGAGGAGAGCAUCCUAAGG